rnacentral:rRNA from 1 species
GAUGAACGCUGGCGGCGUGCCUAAUACAUGCAAGUCGAGCGAACGGACGAGGAGCUUGCUCCUCUGACGUUAGCGGCGGACGGGUGAGUAACACGUGGAUAGCCUACCUAUAAGACUGGGAUAACUUCGGGAAACCGGAGCUAAUACCGGAUAACAUGUUGAACCGCAUGGUUCAACAGUGAAAGACGGUCUUGCUGUCACUUAUAGAUGGAUCCGCGCCGCAUUAGCUAGUUGGUAAGGUAACGGCUUACCAAGGCAACGAUGCGUAGCCGACCUGAGAGGGUGAUCGGCCACACUGGAACUGAGACACGGUCCAGACUCCUACGGGAGGCAGCAGUAGGGAAUCUUCCGCAAUGGGCGAAAGCCUGACGGAGCAACGCCGCGUGAGUGAAGAAGGUCUUCGGAUCGUAAAACUCUGUUAUUAGGGAAGAACAAAUGUGUAAGUAACUAUGCACGUCUUGACGGUACCUAAUCAGAAAGCCACGGCUAACUACGUG